UCGGAGGAUGAUAUGUGGGUCCGAAACGAAUGGUUGGGCCCGUAAGUGAACCUAUUGGAUUUCUGGGCCUCCUCCGUAUAAUACUGGGCCUCGGAUGCCUCAUUUGGUGGGUAAGGCCCAAAGGCGUCGUCUUCUUGCGAUAAAAGGCCAUGGCGGAAGGAGGAAGAAGCUAGGGUUUCGGCCCUCACGAACACUACUUGAUCUUAUCCGAGCGAGCCGUCCGGCGCCGCCGCAGCGGCCGGAGUCGCCUCUCCCGUGGCCGUCUUGCCCCGCUGCCCUUCUGGGCUUGUGGGAUGGUGACGCGGCUCAUUGGGGUAAAGAGGCGGCGAUGGCGCUGAGGCUGCUGCCGGCGACUCGCGAUGACGACUGCCCGCGGUCGGAGCGCGCGCGAUGAUGGCCGCGCGGGUUCACCCCAACAACAUACAGUUCACGAAUUUAUGUUUUCGGUGGUUUCUUUUCAGAUUUCUUUUUUCUUGUAUUGUAAACUUCAAAACUGUAUUAUUCUGCCAAAAAAAACUUAUGUGUUGUAUUAUAUUUUACCUUCACUUUUUUCUUCUAUUUAUGGUUGACAGGUUACCUUGGUUUCUAAAGAAUAUUUGCCCUCUGAUAUCAAUUGCUGUCUUUUAAUUUUCUCUUUCGACUUUGGUCAUGUUAUCAAUACCUUGCUGGGCUCAGUUGAUUUCUAGGACAAUGAUGGAUGCAAACAGCUAGGAGCCCAUGUUCGCAUAGUAUUAAGCUUGAAUACUAUCUGCUAUUAUAGUUUGGAUAUACCUUAAAUAAGUUCAUAGCAAUGUGCAUGCUUCAACGGUUAGGAUAUGCACGAUAAUGUGUUAGGAUUGUAAAUGUUUUGGCUCACUCGGCAGUCGGUGUCGACAUAUCAGAUGCUUGUAGGUGCAGGACUGUUGAUUUACUAUCGUGCCACUGCAUUGCUUUACAAAUUCACAUUAAUUGUACCAUUGUGCAUUUUAUGACAAGAGCAAGGCUUGAAAAUUCGCCUGUUUGUACAGUGUUGUUUCAACAGAAAGCAGACAAAUCUGAUAUUCAGUUCAGCUGUCUGUUUGCAUGGUUACCUUAGUAUGCUGUCUGGUGAAGAUUAGUGGCUUUCAGUUCAGAACAAAGCCCCCUUAAUCAAGUGCAAGGAUUGGCAUGCAAGGGUUUGAAUAAAGGUCUUUGCUGGUGUCAGCCAGGAGCAGGAACCAAUUGUUUAGAGCAGCUCACUACUUAGCAUUUGGUGUUUUUUAGGUUGCUGCUACCCCUGGUGUAAUUUUUCAAUUUAAGACAAGAUUUUCAGUUGGAAAACAGAUCACCUUCAGGUUGUAUUUUUUCCUAAUCUUAUAAAAUAAUGACUCCUGGUUCUCAGGCAUUUCGUGAAAAAAGUUAUCUCACUAUUCUUGGUCUGUCUUACAAGAGUGUCACUUCUCUCAUUUAUGGUGAUUCCCUUUAUUCAGUUGCCAAGUUAUCCCAAUCUUGUUAUUAUAUUAUCCAUCCACACGAGCUCAAUCCAAGUAUGUUCGCACUUCUGUUUGGUCUUCUCUGAUGCAUCAACAGCAAUCUGUGCUUGGCUUGGAGCUGCAAGGUGAUGAUAUGCUCUUGAGAAUGUUGUAGUUCAAUAGAAAUAUUCUGGCAAAUUCAAACACCGUAGUCAUGAUUCUGAUGCUCAUGUUAAGGCACUGAUGGCUUUUCUGUGAAGCAGAAAGAUGACGGUGUUGCUACCGUCUAGAAUGAAGUUUGAGUUGAAUACAUUGAAUCUGUGCAUUUGCUAUUGUCCCAAACCUGCAAAACUAUGUCAGGACAAAUUGUCCAAAUUUCUCAGUGAUUCAACCUAUUGUAUUUCUCAGUGGCAGAUUCAGUGUGUCAGUAGGAGCACUGCGCUGUUAACGUGUUCACUGCAAACAAAUUGCCUGCUGAAAUGAAUUGUUGUAAACAUGUGUCACCUCUUCAAGAUGAUGUAUCUUGACUUAAUAUCUGAAGCAGUGCUCAGUUUUCUUUGCAUUAUCUCUCCUGUUUCUUGUUAAGAGAGGAAAAGAAAGCCGGUAUUGCUACGGUACGGACAUCCGGAAUUUUAAAAAAAUCGGACGCCUGUUGCAAUAGUUAAGUAUCAAUGUUGCAACUAUUGUUUUUGCAUGUUUCACAGUAGAUGUUGCAUGAAACAUAGUACUCAUAUUGCGGCGGGAAUUUUCUAUCCUAGAGUCGACGUAAUCAUUUUUACACAUCAUUUUUCAUGUUGCAAAUAGUGACUGUUGAUGUUGCACUAGUUAAUUUUCAAUGUUUCGUUGGAGCGUCCGAUGGAAAAUUUUCCAUCGGACGUCCGGGCGCUAGCAGCGCCGAAAGAAAGCAAAAGUGAUUCCCAUAGUUGUAGUGGCGAGCGAGAUGGGAGCAGACUAAACCGUGAAGUGUGUUGUUAAACCUGUUUCUUUUUUUCCCCUCUUCAAGGAAGGUGUUGCCUGGCAUUCACUUGUAGCAUGAUAAUGGGCAUAUGGGCUUCAUGAAUGCAAUAUUCAGUUUCAGAGGCAAACAUACACGCGCAAAUCACAAUCAACCUUUCACUUAACUGCUAAUGACAUCAUGUGUAUCCAUUGAAAUUCAGAGAGGAAAAGUAAAACGCAAAUGUUUUGGUUGACCUUACAUAUCCUGUAUCUCGUGACAAGAGAGGUUGAAAUGACACCUCAACAUAUCCCAACAGCAAAAAUGGCAAUAGAUGAAUACGCGAGGCAUAUUCGCUACUAGUACUGUAGCACAUGACAGAUGAUGAUGUUUGAUCUCACAAUAUUCAGUAACAGCAAACUUAUACUCCUCUUUUUAUAACUACCUUAAAUAAAUGUUACAGAAACAAGAAGCAUUUUGCCUUGCCUGUGCCAGUGAAAUGUGUGUGUUAGAGUAAUCUAGAGACAAUACAGAUAAACCCCUACAUGUCCAUUUUCUUCCCCUAUCAGAUCUUGAAAAUGUACUAGACAUGUUCCCCUUCAGCCAAAUUGAUUUCUAACAUGUGCUUGCCUGAUAAUCUGCGCGUCAUCCUUCCGGGAUGGGAAUGUCGAUCCUGGAAGUGCUUAUCCACCUCUUUGAGCUUUUCUCUACAUCCAUGCCCAUUAUUUCUAGCUUGCACGGUUGCGUCUCUGAUCAGUCUCAUGAGGACGGCGUCGUUGUCGACGGGGAAGGGGAAGCGCUGGUGUCUGCGGACCACCAGCCCGCGCCGGAGCGCGGCGAAGAGGAAGCUGGUGGAGACGCCGAGUUCGGCGGCCGCCAUGAGCUAAUCGCUAUCCGAUUAUUUACAUAAAACCCCUAGUAGUUUACAAUCUGGUCCUUCUUCUCCACCUGCUCUCCUCAUCUCUCUACGGUCCCCAUUCCCAUUCGCCGUCGCCGCCGAUCGGGAUAUGAACUUGAGAGAGAGGCCUACGGCCGUUGUGCGGUGGCGGAAUCGUAUCACCCGGUCACACCUAGCAUCUCUUCGUCGCCAACCAUGCGCUUUUCUUCCUUUCCGCCAUUCCCUCCUCUCCUUCGCCUCCGGUGGCGAUGGGGUGAUUUGGCGGGGAGGCUGACGGGGAUCAAGAAUGAGAGUUUCCUAUGGUCCACUCCGCUCAGUUGGUUCAGCAACCACGAGGCAAACCUCUGGAAAGCCGCGGUGACCAACGCACUGCUCAGCCACAACCUUGUGCUCGACCAACCCCUGCCGCCUGCGCCAUUGCGCCGUCGUCAGGAACUACGCCAGGCAUCUUCUCCGUGAGCUGCAUCCUCUGCUUGCUUCUUUGGAUUUCGAGUCUGCUAACUGCUUGCAUUUUGUGAAAUGAUUCAACUUUUAGCGGUUCUUGCAGCGACCGGCAGUAACCCACAGAAUUAGUUGUUGUAGGAUCAAAAAUCGAAACUUCUCACUGGACUGAAGUUGUUGUAAGCCAUUUAUCUUCAGUUAUAUACGUGUUGCGAAACAUUCUACAAGCUGUAUUUGCAUUUCUGUCAUGUUUCAUAUUAGGGGUUGGACUUGCAAUCAACUAAGCCGUGUGAAACUUCUUGACGUCGAUAAUGCAUGUUCUAUGUACAUUAGCACCUCUUAGUUUAGUGUGUUGUGAGCAGAAAGAGAUGAUAAACCACAGAAUUAGUAUUCUUCUUUUUUUAGAAUUCCAGGGCAGAGCCCUCGGUUCGAUCGCAUUGCAAAAAGAACAAAGUAGCAGUGUUUAGCACAUAGUGUUUACACGAGUUCUUCCAGAAAAGAGCAUCAGAGCACACUGCCCCAUCAUGUUACACAAAAAAAUCAGGCAUCAUCCGGUCUUCACCACCAGGCGAGAGAUCAACUGAUACUCGCUUCAUCAUGACUCCAUCACGCAUACUGACUGAUUCACGACGCUGCGAUCUCACGAGCUUCCAUCAGCAGAACAAUCUGGUAUUUACCUUUCUUGUCAUAAGUUUUCUUUUGAGGAUUAAUGUUUUCUGAUUCAGCAUUAGUAUGUGUUGUUAAUUCGCUGCGUGGUUAGCUUGCUACACUGGCGUGUCUUCCAUUCUUAGAUUUUUAGUUGAAAAAUUGUCUUAAGUUGUAUCUGUUCAGUCUUAAUACAGUGAUACCUGACUCUCUAGAAUAUUGCUGAAAAAAUGUGUUAGAUUUGCCAGCAUUGUUUUCUUGCUUGCAGCCUAAUUUGUCAAAAAAGUUUGUACUUGUGUGAACCUAGUUGCAUUUCAUCUAUUUUGCAAUGGAGAUAAUGAUAAACUUACAUCUCUUUAUGUGAAACUUAUGACUGAUGCUACUUGAGGCAUGGAUAACUUUCUCUGAAACAGAAAAAUAGGUUGCUGCCUUUCUAGAAUGAAGUUUGAGUUAAAUACAUGGAGUGUAUGCAUUUGCUAUUGUCCUGGAGCUGUGAACUUAGAAGCCAUCAACAAUUUGUCCACAUUUCUCACUGCCAAAGUGCUUGUGUGUUAGUAGGAGCACUGUUCUGCUAUCUUUUACUGUUCACAAAUUGUUCACAAAUUGCUCGCUGAUCUAUCUUUACUUCAUAUAUUCUGAAGCGUUCCUCAAGUCGUCUUUGCAUUAUCUCUUGUUUCUUUAUUAAGAUAUAUGUGCUGCUAUCCAUUUACAUGUGAAUCGACUGAUUUCUAUGAUUUGCAAAGCUGACGAGAAGGAAGGGCUCUUCCAGAUUUAUGCUGCAGCUGUAUGCUUUACUUGCUUAGUCUGGAACAUGGAAGUAAAGUCAGCAGGUCCAUAUUUCCGUCUUCAAGGAAUAACAUUUUGCAUUGGCUUGUACAUGAUAAUGGACGUUAAGAAGCAAAGAUUGCGGCAACCAACAUUAAACCGUAAAAUUAGUUACAUUUGAUAGGAAAAUUAUUGCAGCUUCUGAAAUGCUCACUGGAAUAAAACUGUUAAAGGACAUUAUAUGUGUCACUUUUAUAUGUUGGGCUACAACCUGAAUUUUGAUUUAUCUCUCCUUUCAUAUUAGGAGUUGGGCUUCUGAUCAGCUAAAUGGAUGCAGCAUUGCUUGCCUCGAUUCGUGUCCAUUGUUUCUUGCCUAACUCAUCUAAUCAGUCUCAUCAAGCAAACAUCUCUGGCAUGAGCACACUCAUCUGAAUAUCUGAUGGCGGCGGCGCGCCGGUCGCAUCUACCAGCGCCCGAGCAGGAGGUGGCGUCGUCAGGAUGGCCGUUCCGGACUUGCCAUCAAGCAAGGAGAGUUUGGCGUUGGAGGCCGUGCUCUGAGGACUGGACGGCGACGGCGUCGGCGCGUCGGUGCCGGCGGGGAGGGGGGAGCUGGUGUCAGCGGGCCAACAGCGCGUGCCGGAGGCGGCGAAGAGAAAUUUGAUGGAGGCGACAGAGUCGCUGACUGCGAUGAGCAGCCGGAGCAGAAGGUUGCGGCCGCGGGGCGCCACGAACAUGGGCGGCGGAACCUCCGCUGCUCCCGCCGGCGAGCGCCAACGGCGGCCGAGCAACUUUACAAAUUUGAGGGAUCGCGAUUAUUCUCCGCAAUCCAAAUAUUUACAAAUAUUUACAUGUAAAUCCCUAUAUUGGAUCGUGAUUAUUAUAUUUACAUAAAACCCCCUAUAUAUUUUUAAUUUGGUCCUUCUUCUCCGCCAGCAAUCCUCCUCUCCCUCCCUCUCUUGGCUGCCGUCGCCACCGACGGGGACAUGGACUUGCGGGAGAGAUCUGCGGCCGCAGGACGUAGGCACUUAGCACCUACCUCCUCGUGGCCAUCAACUUCCUUUCCGCUGCUCUCAUCCAUGCUCCAGCUCCGGCAGCACGUGGAUGCAGCAACCAGGUGGCAGAGCUCCGCAAUGCAACGGCGGGAUAGAUGGGACACACCACUGCGCUCCACCGUGGUUGAGGUCUUGAGGAUCUCCGUAUGGGACUACGCGAUGCGUCUCCCUGUAACCCUGUUAGUGGAGGCAAAUGUUACUCCUCGUCAUUAGAUUUGGCAGGUCGAGUUGGUUUAAUUUGCAUCAACCAAGAUUACUUGAUAUUUGGAUGUGCGCUGAACCUAUUACUUGGACUUGUGAAAUGAUUCAACCGGUAGAUGUUUGGAAGAUUGCGGCAAUCCACAGGAAUUAGUCACUGUGUCAUCGGAAAUUCAAAAUGCUCGAUGAAAUUAAGCUAUAUCUUCGCUUCUAUAUGUUGGAAAACAUUCUGCAAGUUGCAUUUGCGUUCCUUCGAUCAAUUAAGCUAUGCGAUAUUGCUUGAGAUCGAUUAUGUGCCUUUAUAUCACCUCUUACUCCAGUGUUCAUUGAGUAGACAUCAGACAAAUCGGUUUUCUGUCGUCCUCGCUGUUGAAUUGCACGGUCAUCUUCGUAAGCUAUAUCUUGCUUGCAACCUAAUUUGUUCUUAUGAACCUAAUUAUAGGGGUUUUUUUGGCAGUGUGAAUUGAUAUCACACAUCUCAUGGUCUAACCAAGGGUGCUACUUUCUGACAUUGAUAGUGAUUCCAUCUAUUUGUUUGCAAGAAUUUCUGAACCUUAUUAACACCCCUGUUUCACAGCGUUAUUUUUCAGAAGCGAAAGUGCGAAACCUUGUAUUCACCAGCAACUUCUCAAAUAAACGCCGAGAAAUUCAACAAAUAGACCUCUAUCCUGAAUUUCUUCAUAAUAGAGAUUGAAAUUAUAGCACCACCAUAUGCUGGCCGCAACAUGGCAAUAGUGACUGAAUAAGUUAGAGAAAAUAAAAUCCGCUACAUGAGUACAUGACAGAAGAAUGUGGUUUGAUCCCCAAAUGUUCAGAAACAGAAAAACUAUGUCUCUCUUUCAUGAUUACAUUGAAUACACGUUACAAAAACAAGAAGCCUUUCACCAGCCAGUAUACGCUUCAACUGGACUAACAAAUCCUAAGUUACACGUAUUUCCUAAGGAUAACCUGAAUACUACAAUAUAUCUGUUUUGUGCAACUGAGAAAACCUGUGAACCUGAGUCAAUGAUAUGUUGGUUAGAUAUUAAUUAGAUUACCCAACAGAGACAAGACAGACACACCCCUUUCUAUUUAUUUUCCUCUGCCAGAUCUUGAAAAUCUACUAGAUCUAUGCACCUUCAGCUGAAUUGCUGGCACCCUUCUAGCCAGUGCUUGCCAGAUCAUCUGGACUGCAUCAUCCUUCUGGGAUGGAUACUGAUACUCAAAAUGUUUAUCCACCUCUUUGAGCCUAUUCCACAUCCUUGUCCAUUGUUGCUUGCUUACACCACUAAUCAGUCUCAUCAGGAAACCCUUUUUAACAGCAUCUGACGAUCGGACAAAGAUGGAGAACUUUGAAUAAUCCAAUACAUCCUCGUAAGGUAGCUCAAUGUCAUCACUGAUGAUAACAGGGACACAGUGGCUCACUAUCGCAUCAAACAGACGAUUGGAAGAAGGGGUGUCCCCAGCAAUGUUUAGGCAAAAUUUUGAUGAGUGCAUUCCUUGGCUGGCUUUGCUGGCCCCAUGGUCCUGGACACUUCCAAAGGAAAAAUAAACAUUCUUUUCGUCUUUGAGCAUGUAAUAUAGCUCUUGUCGUAUGCUCCCUCCCUGGGUAUGGAUGAUGCAACACGUUAGCUUAUGAAAGUCACCAAUUGUCAUUAAACUAUGGUCACUGAAAACUGGUACCAUGAAAGUUCUUAAAUUCCAUAAGGAAAUCACAAAUAGCUAGCAGCAAUCGGAAUAGGUUCACAUUCUUUUUGUGGCGCAAAUAAUUUUUUUUCCAUAGAUACUCCAUACUUGGCAUAUGUAGACCAAACUGGCUGUGGCUGGUAUAUUCCUGUACUAAUAUCGUUUGUUAAAACCAAAGGGUUGAAACAGGGGCAAAUGCAAAUCUUUUAGUCUUUUAAUAGCUUGAGAAAACAAACAUAAACCAGGAGCCGUGCCGACAAAGAUGGAAGAUCAAGAGAGCCUUGUGCCCUUGUGUAAACCUCACUGGAGAUUAUCAAAUUACACAAACUUCAUCCAGAGGUUCAAGAGUUCAAAUAAGGUGAUGGAUGUAGAUUAAUAAAGAAAGAUCCUGUAUGCAUAAGUCUAACCACCUUAAUGACUUAAUGGAAGAUAUAAGAUUCAGAAAAAAAAGUGACAGAACCUAUAUCCAUUUUUGUUCAGAAGAGACAUUUGAUUUAUGGUGACAUAAUAAGUUUACUUUACUAGUAAUUACUACCAGCACAGGCUAGACAAAAAUUGUGUCACUUUGUAAUAGUAAUAACUCGUGCUAUCAUAACACGUCAAUAUUUGAACUCACAAAUUACAUCAUGAUUCAUGAACUUUGAAGAAACAGAAUAAUUAUGAAACUCUGACGAAAAAAAAUCACAGUUUUGUGGAUUUAUCUGGUAUAAACUAGCUACAUGUGAAUACCCCCUUUUAACAAUCAGAGCCAUGACCCCUACAUCAUGUAGUCAUAAGCUAAUUUCAGCCAGUUCCAAAUUAUGCUAUUCUCACUGUACAGCUUGCCAGUUCCUAACGUGAUUUAUGUUUGACAAGUUUUGCUAGGAGAAAAAAGGAAUCUUUAGGACAAAAGACAAGCUUUUGCAACAGUACUGAACUAGUACUAGUAGUAAAAUGUUCAAUUACUUGACAGCUUCAUAAUGAUUACCUCAUAGAAUAGAACAAACAAAAUUAAUCGUCAAAAAUUGAUAAUAUGUUAUGACUGGCACCAAGUAGAAAUGUAGUGUAUAAGGUUGCUAUGCACUGUGCCAGAUUAGCAGAGAGCAAGCGAUCAUCACCUCCUUCCUGUAAAUGGCUCCUCGGAAGUACAACAAUGUCGGCCGGUCAUCAAACCCAGCCAAGUCAUUGACGAACGUCUUGGCCAUGUGCUUGUAUGGCGCAAUGACAUCCUUCUCCAAGCUGGCCACCCUGGGGUGGUACCUCCCGAAGUCUGACAGCACGAAGACCGCCGGCGAUAGCGGCCCCCGGGCGUGCAGCAAGCUGUUGGGGUGGUGCGCGACGAUGACGUGGUCGGCGCCACCGUACCUCUUCCACUCCGGCCGCGCACUGAGGUACCUGACGAGCUUCUCCUGCAGUGCCUUGUCCCUGGCCACCUUCUCCGGCGGCACGGGCCUGGAGUGGCGGUUGUAGCUGAGGGAGGCGAAGAAGGGGACGAAGACGAGGUCGGCGUCGCGGGAGUCGGCGACCCGCACGGCGGGGCCGCAGGGAGCGGAGGACGAGGAGAGGAGGUCGAGCGUGAGCCAGUACUCGACGCUGUGCUGCUGGUUGAGCCCCCCGGGGUAGCGCGGCGGCGGCGUGGAGAGGUCCGGCCAGACGGAGUCGGGGGAGGGCGGGGACCAGCCGAGGAGGCCGAAGUGGAACUCGGGCGGCAUGUCGUACAUGAAGACCCUGACGGCAGCACCGCGCGGGUCGCAUCCCGCGGAGCCGGAGGACGAGCCCGGGUCGUCAGGGCGGCCGUUCUCGUCAAGGAAAGAGAGUUCCUUGCGGCCGCCGGUGGUGGUGUUGGAGGAGGCGGUGGCGGUCACGGGGACAGCCGCGGCGGAGAAGGCGUGGGGCGGGACGGGGAGGCCGGUGUCGGCGGGGCGCCAGCGCGCGCCGGCGGCGGCGAAGAGGAAGAUGGUCGAGGCGACAAGGACGGUGGCGGCGGCGAGCGGGAGGAGGAGGGUGCGGCCGCGGGGCGCCAUGGAGGGGCGCGGGUCAUCGCUGGGAUGGAGAUGGAGAUGGUGGAGGAGGGGGCAUGGCGGAUUCGAUCUGAUUCGGAAGUGGAGUCGCUGCAAGCAACUGCGACGAAGCCUGGGAAAGGAAGAGCAAGGGCCGCGGCCGAUGCUUGGUGCGUGUGGGCCGUAAGCCCGAUGGCCCAAGCAUCGAAAGGAAAAAAAAAAAGCUAAUGAAGGUAUAAAGCAUCCUCGUAAGAAAAAGAUAAUGAAGCUAAGCCGAGCAAAAUAUGUGAUCUCAUCUCAAAAUAUAAAGUCCGCAUCAGCCCAAUUUGCAAAAGGUCUUACGGAAGCUACUAUCGUCUGCAGGCUGAGCGGCUCGUUCAUGCUCUUUUUCAGCCUUGCGAGGAACAAUAUUUAGCCUGGCCCCAGGCUAUUUCUUGCUCUGCCCCUACAUAUAUUUGCAUGUCCAAUAAUAUCAUCGAUAUGAAGAUCCUUGACAAUGGGGUCGUGGAUCAAGAUAUGAACAAAGGUGAUGAGAUUGAAAACCACAAGAUAACUAAUGUGUGAUAACUUCGGAAAAAAUAUCUGCCAUCACAAAGCAUAUAUGCAUAGAUGUCCGGUGAAGUAUGUAUAUAUCCUUCCUCGUGAGUUCCAUCUAAGAGCAACUCCAACAGAUUGAGAAAAUCCAUCCCCAUCCCUAUAAUCUGACAUAAAGAGGAUUGGGAAAGAAAAAAACUCCUCUAACAGAUUGAGAAAACAAUCUCAUUUCCCUAUAUUUUUUCCUCAAUUGAGAAAAAUUAACUCCCUCUCCCUUUCCCUCCCUCUCCCCUCCCUCGGUCUCUCUCCGCCGCACGUUCUUCUCCCGUGUUCGUCGCGGCCUUCGCUCCGCCAAGAGGCGUGGCCAUCGUCCGUCAGCCGUCAUCCGUGCCGGAGGCCUUGAGCCGCCGCCGUUGUCCUUCGUAGCUUUACUGUUUUGUUCUCAUGCAGCCCCCAGAGCACGUCCCCGGCCUCGUUCCUCGUCUUUUCCAGCACCGACAGCCCGUCGACGCAUUUCUGAGGCUCUUUCAUCAUCAGCCCACAGGUCACGUGGAGGAUGGUCGCCGCCUCCUGGCCUGGCUUCACCUUGUCGUACAACGUGUCGAGCAGGCUCGCCGUGUCAGGCACGGCCCCGCUGACAGCCCCCAGCUUCUUCACGGCGGCAGCCUCGUCGGCCGAGCAAGGCUCCGGGCAGUUGCACUGGCAGGGGUUGAUCUGGCCGUAUUCAUCGCUCAUCACCGAGCUGAGGUAAUCGGUGAGCUGCGAGAUCGCGUCUUCGCCCUCUGCCAUCGCGGCGGUGGUGGUGGACGUGGUGGCGUCAAGGACCUGGGCGCACUUGGAGAUGCAGGGGUCGCUCUUGAACUUGCCGGCGGCGAGCUGGGGCCCGGCAAUUACUGCUUUCGUCUUAGCCAAGCUCUUGGACAUGGCCUAUAUCAUGAAGCUGCACCGCUUGGGCAGGAUCCGGAUAUACCUUGAUCAUCGGCUUGGGGGCAGAGUCGACGACGGCCGUGAAGGUGAUGAUGGUGACCAUGAGGAGGCGGAGGGGACCCACCAGCACCUGAGAGCGAGGCGCCGCGAAACAAGCCAUGAUCGUUUGCUUGCUUGCUACUACUUGCUAGGAUGAAUUAUAUUAUUAUUUAUUACUACCACGCGUAUAUAAUCAGAUGACGUUAGCUUAGCUUGUCCGUUCAAUCUGCUCUCUAUCUUUUCUAUUUAAGCAAUGGUUGGAAUGGACUCGGCUAUUGAUAGCCAGCUGCAUGCCUAGAGUCAUGUAGGAAGAGCAAAUUAUAGUAUUGUUGUUUUUAGGAGUGAUGUCCAUAAUAAGUCGACUGCGACCAUGAACAAUGUCCCGGGGUACCUGAGUUUAUUUAAUGGCUUUGGAUCAUUGUAUUUUAAAAAAAAUGGAAAUCAAAUAAAAAGAAAAAUUGAAAUCGUGUUUAGUUGCAAACGUAAUUGGAAUUUGCUGGUCUGUUUAGUUGCAAGAGAGUUUAAAAACCGUUUUUCAUUGCCAGCCCAUAGGUGACUAGCUCUAACACCUGGCCUGCAAGCCGCGUGCAUUCAGGAUCUACUUGGGGACGGUUUAUUUUGAGUUCGGUUUUUCAUCUGUUUUGGCAAAAAUUAAGCCAUUAUAGCAUAAGCCAUCUGUUUUUGAUUUCAUGGAUGAAGAUACAAAGGUGAGGGAUUAACAACCGCAAGGUAUUAACUAAUUAACGUUAAUUCCGCAUAAAAUUUUACAAAUAAGCAUGCCAUGAGGAAAGCCUUGUGUCUCCUUGUGAGAUAGAUACACUCAUACACAUACUCAUAAUUUUUUUUUGACAAUUUCUAAGUAUUUCUAUGAUUUCUUUGUGUGGAAGAUCACUUAACCUUUAAUAAUAAAUAUAUAAUACCAUUGAUCAAAAUGAGCUCAUUCGAAUCAGCUCACAUAAAUAAUAAAUUGCAGUGCAAAUAUCCGAUUGCGGACAUCAUUAAUUUUUGAAUGAGAAACAUACUAAAAUUUUUUUAUCAAAAGAAACUGUCGAAACAUGCAGAUGCUAGGCUUGCCAUUUAGGGUAUUAGCGAUGCACCAUAUAUAUAAUUAGUUUGGAGGCAGUAAUUCUGUGAGGAAUUUUUCGACGGCAACCCAUGCAUCGUAGACGCCAUUGAGGCUGUCGACAACGGCGGUCUCGUUAGCCGAGCACGGCUUCUCCGGCGGCGGCGGGCAGGAGCACUUGCAGCGCGGAGGCUGUUUCCCAUCGCCCUGGACGUAGGAAUGGAUGGCGCCGCGUAUGUCCGCCAGGUUGAGCGCCGUCGCCUCCGCCGAGUCGAGCUUUCCCCCGAGCUCCCGCAUGGCAGUGUCGCAGUCCGCGAUGGGCGAACUGAGCUUAGUCGCCGGGUCGGAACUCGUCAGCUCCCAGGCCACGUGUCUGGCCUCCUUCAUCGUCUUGGCCAGCGCCGACAGCUCGUCGGCGCACUUUUGAGGCUCUUUCGUCAGCCCGCAGGACACGUGGAGGAUGCCACUGUCCAUGGACUUCUCCAUCGGCUCUACCUUGGCUUUCUUUUCCUCAUCGGUGAGUUGGUCGUCGUCGUCGGACAUAGUUUGGAGCAGGUCCGCCAUGGCGAGCAUGGCGUUGGUGGCCUCCCCCAGCUUCUUCACGGCGGCGGCCUCGUCGGCCGAGCAAGGCUCCGGGCAGUCGCACUCGCAAGGGCCGAUCGGCCCCUCAUUAGAGAUGACCAGCGGGUAGAGGUACUCCUUCAGCUGGAAGAUCGCAUCUCCGCCACCCGCCUCCGCGGCGGCGGCGGCGGCCUUGGACGUGGUGGCGUCGAGGACCUUGGCGCACCCCGAAAUGCAGGGGUCGCUCUUGAACUUGCCGGCGGCGAGCUGGGGCCCGGCAAUCACUGCUUUCGUCUCGGCCAAGCUCUUGGACAAGGCUGAUAGCUUGACGCUGCACCUCUUGGGCAUCAACGUCUUGCUGCAGGAUGGAUAUACCUUGACCGGCUUGGAGGCCGUCGGCGCCGACGACACACGGGCAGAAUCGACGACGGCCGUGAAGGUGAUGACGGUGACGAGGAGGACACCGAGCAGCUGAGAACGAGGUGAUGCGAAAGAAGCCAUGGUCGCUUGCUUUGCUUGCUAGAUGAAUCCGUACGUACCGUGUAUAUAUAGUGCACACAUAGAAGUGCAGUACCGGUCGUCGGUCGAUUUUCACGGAUCGCCUCUGCUCACUCUGUUUCCUAUUUAAACAAUGGUUGGAAUGAUGCGACGAACUGGUCAAAUAGUAUCCUUAUGUUUUUAUUACUUUUUAGGAGUGCUAUAUAUAUCCGUAAUAAGUCGACUCCGGCCAUGAACAAUAAUGCAAUGUCCCAGGGUUAAGACUUCACCUGGAUUUCUGUAAUGGCUUUGGAUCAUUGUACUCAAUUACUAAGUAGUUGUUAGUGUUUCGUUAUUGCCAGGUGAAUUAAAAAAAAAACACCGAAAUCGUGUUUAGUUGCAAAACAGAUUUCUUCUCGUAACGUCCUGGUGCUCUACAUGCUCUAAGCAAGCAGCAGAGAUAUCUCCCAUGCAGAUUGUUGGGGUAGGACACUGUCCCCCCAAGACGGAGGGCCAAACAGUUGAAAACAAGGAAACAAGAAAAGACAGAAAUGAAAAUGACUUUGGUUAGCAAAAGAGUACUCUCCCUCUCCGUCGAGAACGUGUCCCCUUCCAUUCAUGACGGUCGGGUCGUAUUUUUUACACUUUACAACCUAAUGCCCCAUUGUACCUUCGUUCGAAGGAUAUUCGAGAUCAUUACGAUAACAUUACACCACUUUUAUCACACACUUUACAACUCAUUAUUCAACUUCGUGCCCUCCCGCCAAAAGUACUUCGCCUCCUGCUAACCCGGCCACCCGCCAAGUGAUCAAGGCCUCCGAGCGCCCGACUUCGGCCAUCGCCUCCUGGCCCCGUGGCUUCUGAUUUAUCCCGCGCGAAGUUAAAACUCCGCGCCCGCCGUCCGUUCCUGCGAAAACACAAAACGUCCUCGCGGACGAGCCGAGAGAGUUAGAAAUCCGUAAGGUUAAGAGGUGCAACACAGAUGCAGUGGACUACCGGCCGGGGCUGUGCGGAACAGGUUGCAUGCAGUGCAGAGAGAAUUACAACACCCUGCAGUCUCUAAGUCUGAACUAGUCCAGUCGUAUGGUACGGUACUACGGUACCUGCUCUAGUUUGGAGCCUGCCUGUGCCUGUCUACAACCAACUCCGAUCCAUCUGCAAGGCAACCGAAUCUAAUCUAUUCUUAGCUCGUGUGUAACCAUCUACGGUAUGUAUCAUCAUCGGAUAGAUCUCUUACCAUGCAUCUCUUCUAGUAGCUUAUUCUCUUGUUCCUUCAUCUCGAUCGCUCAGGAUCCGUCCGUCCAGUCCAGUGUCCAGUCCAUCCAGUAAGCUCUCAGGAUCGACAUGGCCAAGGCCAAGGCGCCGGCGUUGCUCAUCUGCUUCCUCUUCCUGCUCGCGCUCGCCUCCGCCGCCGAGGUAUGCACUACGCACUAGCUGAUGGAUCCUUUCCUUUAAUUUGGAGGAUUCUCCGAUCCUCUUCUGUAUAGUAUAGCUAUCAUUCACGAUCGGCUUGCAUAUAUUUACACACAUGUCCAUUGUCGAUCGGAAAGAUCAUUGGCAGUAAUGGUGUUUUUUCGCUGGUGAAGACCUGAACAGCAAAGGUGAUGACACCGACAACCACAAGGUAACCCAUGCAUCUUUACCAUCACAGCAGAGAAAUAAUGGAAUACCUAGUACCUAUAUAUAUAGACAGAUGGGCUUUAACUUGGCUGUGUGCGGUUGCGGAGACCGAAACCUUAUCCAUUUUCUAAAAAAGAAAGAUGGGCUUUAACUGUGUCAGGGCGUGUGUUGUGUGCGUGUGCAGGGCAACAACGAUGGCAAGGGAAAUCUCAAGCCUUCUCGUGAGUCAUCAUGCAUGCUUCUCUCUGCUUUUUUUUUAGUUUCCGAUCUGCUCCUUCAGUCGAUAGUUCAGUAUUUUGUUGCUAUAAAUAAUCAAACGCAUCUUUGUUUGGAUUGGUGUGUGAAUUACAUUGCUGAUCGAUGAAAGCCUGCUGACUGAAACUAUAUAUGAUCGAUGCAGAGUGCGGUGGGGGAGUGCAGGCGGAGAUGCUCCAAGACGCACCACAAGAAGCCGUGCCUCUUCUUCUGCAACAAGUGCUGCGCCAAGUGCCUCUGCGUGCCUCCCGGCACCUACGGCAACAAGGACACCUGCCCCUGCUACAACAACUGGAAGACCAAGAGAGGAGGCCCCAAGUGCCCUUAAACCUAGCUUAGCUAGCUGCUGCUGCAGGAUGGAAUUUCUUCUUUCCAGGCCUGCCUCUUCUAGGAAUAAAAAAAAACUUUUUUGUUUAGUUAGUGCAGGAGGAUUUGGGCCAUCACUUGGUGGGCUUCGGAUAGGUUUGGGCCUAUAUGAUUCUGUCUGUUGUCAGAAAAUUGCUAGUCUGAUGAUGGAUGACCAAGCAGAGAGCAGUUUAGACUGAAUGAGACGUCUGUCUUUCUUAAUCCUUGCCUGCUAGAGUGCUAGUCUCUGACUCCGUGUUUAGUCACUUAAUCUUCCCAGGCACGAGGUUGCUUUCUCGUCAUUAAAGAGUAAAGACAGAUCACUGGCGACUUGCCCAAAAAACCUGCGCACCAUCAAAUCAAUGAUUGAUCGCUACCAUCAUUACUUGAUUAGUACAGUACAUGAGUAACAGUUGACUUGUGAAACAAAUCAGGAUCAGAUGGCAUACCAUACAUGCUACUCCACUCCACUCCACUCCACUACUGCAUAUUGCCAUAGGCAGGCCAGGCACUAGCUAUUGAGCAGAGAUGGACGAUGCCUUUUGUUUUAUCCUUGAAGCUAGCUAGGAUAAAACCAUACUAUGCAUUCUGCCAACCUCCUUCACUCCACUGAUUCCAUCCGUCUCGUUUCUGAAUUUCUGAUUCGGUGUACCUGCAGUGGCCAGCAUAGCCAGCAUCUGUAUCUUUCAGUCAGCACAUCUGCUUCUCGGUGUCGCUGGUUGCAACGCCCGAUUGGACGCGAACCAGAAAAACGACACCAUCCUCUCCACGAAUGGCAGACACCCUGGCCCUAGCUCCAGUUGACACCUUCCCCUCCGGUCGCUCACCACCUACUUGUAUGCAUCCAUCGAUUUGAUGCCUGAAGAUUCUCAACCAGUCACUAACAGCAUAUGUCUUCACUACAAGGUUCUGAAUUCUGACGAUUUUGAUUUAGCUUUCUCCACAAAAUCACACUGCUGGUCUUCUUACAUCUCAAGUUCUCAAUAAGUCGCUGUUGCAAAGCUGUUCAUCUAAUCGCUGCGACAAACGUGCACUCGUCGUGGAUCUGUCAAACAUUCAUAGAUGAGGAGAACAGCUAGCUUAGCUCUGACCUCUGAUCCAACCAAGUUUGCGGUGCUUGGAGCCAAGCUGGCCGAAAGGAAGAGGACUUGAAUUGCACGUGACCCCUUCACAUGCAGAUUCACAUCCGUCACCAAGGAUGCCAGCCAAUUCAGCCAACGCAUCAACCACUGUUCCCCACGCCCACAUGAAGCAUCCACCAACAAUUGGUAGGGGACCUUCCUGCCUUCUCAUCCGCCUUCCUUUUCUCCCAAAUAGUGUCCAGCUUGUUUGAUGCUAGCCAAGGUGAGAUUUAAACAUGAUAAGUGGCAGAAGCUGAGUGAUUCUUCCACUGAUUGAUGGCAACUGAAACACUGUACGACUGAUCCUCGAUUGCAGAUUUUGCAGUGGCCUGGAAAACAGACAUUCUGCUGGGCAGAGGACAGAGGGAAAUGGCAGAGCUGAUGAGGCUUCAGUGACAGUGUGUCCCAUGUUGGCAGCUUGUUGCAUGAUUUGAUUUGAUAGGUGGAGCCUAAUAUCACAUUAUCCACCCAGCUAGUAGGACCCCUUCCCUUCUCUGGAAAUUCAUAAGGUCAAAUAAAAUGAGCCACUAUAAUUAUAAGGACUAGUACUUGUAAUAACUUGGCAAUAAAUUUUGCCAAAUGUACUUGCGUAACUUUUUCAAGAUUUUGAUCCAGUGCAGCAAGUGGGGUACCAAGGUACUCCUAAUAUUAUGUACCAUUUGUUCAUUCUUGUUGCUUGUGAUGAUGAAAGCAGCAUUCUAUGCUAGUACCUGAUAUUUAAAGCUACUAACUAAGAAAAAGGAUUGAGCUUCAUUUUGUUCACCAACUUGCCAAGUGGAUAUGGUCUUAAACUCUUAAGUACUGUAAUGCACAUCCUGAGAAGAUUAGUACAAUCUUCAAUGCUUAUUUUAAGACAUAAAGCUAAGAACAAAGAUUUGGAACAGCAAUUAUGACGUGUAGCAAACAAUACAAUAAACAAACAAUUCAACUUUGUACAAGUCCAAGGGCUACAGUUUGGCCAUUUUUACAUGUAUAUUAGUUUCAGUCAACAGAGGGAGCAAAACUAUUACUGUAUUUGCAGGGAUAUUAAAGGAAUUCAGGUACUAGCAUCUAAGUCGACUCUGUUUUCCAGUUAUGUCUGUUCCCCAAAAAAAUGGAUUUGCAGAGUUGUCCAUAGGAUCCUGAGAAACAUUAUCAUGGUUGUGUGGUGUCGAUAUUACAAGUACAAAAUUGAAAAGUAAUGCUUAGACUUACACCUGUACUUAGCAUGCGAAAACUUAACAAAUUCAGUUCAAAUUUUUCAAGGUUAACUUAGUUGAACCCUUUUUUUUUUGUUUCAUGACAAUGAGAUGGUAAACAAUGGCAUUUCCUACCUGGAAUAUGUUCCCUUUUCACUCAAAAAAGUAAUCAAGCAGAUCAAGCAGAGUAGGAAUAUAUACCAUCUUUUUGUCAGUACAGCACCGAUGCUGUGAAUAUAUCCUCAGAGUCUUUCUUUUUCUAAGAGAACAGAAGAUGAAUUGUUAGAUCACCGGUCCCACCAAGAAGACAAUGCAAGUUUGGCUACUGAAAACGACCGUUCUGUAUCUUUGUCUCUACGGUCGGAGUCUACUCUACCAGCCUAGUAGAUUCUACCACAGUACUAUAAAUCCUUUUUCCUAUUCCCCGAAGAGAUUUCUCAACCUUGACAGGCAGAUAUCAUGGUACCUUUCAUGUACCCAGCCUUGCUCUGGAACGAUCACCAACCUACAUUGCAUUUCGUUCCUGUCCAUUUACCCAGUUUGGAAGAAUCUGCCUAAAGUUCCUAGCUACGUCGUCAGCACAGGUAUAGACAAAUCAGACACACAUAUCACAAGUUCAAGUAUGGGCAAAGUAGGCACAGAAUCCGAACUAUGAAGUGUGGUGCCAAAUGCCAUACCCCACAAUGCUGUAGCUGCCUCCAGGAAAUGCAUUAGACCUGCAUUCAAGUAAGCUAGAUGUUCAUAUCGCACAGCUAUAUAUAACAUCACAACAUCAUUGACCAAUGGUGACCUGAUGAAUUGGAGGACAGGAGCAAUAAUUAAACAGUUCAAUUGGUCAGAUGUCAAUCAAAAAGAAAAAAAAACAGAGGGAAGGUGGCAGAAGCAAGUAGCAGAUGCAGAAGCCGGAAGAGUCAAUUGGAGAGGAGUGCUUCUCUGUCCAACCUCCAAUGUAGAUCCAAAAAAUCCUUCUUUCCAUGCCUAAUGUUCUUCUCGCGUUCCGUGUUCCUAGUUUGUACCAAGGUCGCUGAAUCUCCCAAAGCUGUAACCAAAUUGGAUGUGCAAUUCUCCUUUCUUUUCAUGUUCCUUGGUCAAGAUGUCAGUGUCAGUGCACGAAAACCUUUCUGGAGGUUAGCAGCAGCUAUAUGUGAGUCUCAGUCAAGCUGAGACCCAUUAGACGUUUUGUCAAGUCAAUUCAGAUCUAAUCUUGUCCACUAAUGGACCUACUAAAAAUGUUGGUUAGUUGGUCAUGCUGGUCUUUGACAAAUAAUUAUAUGGGUCACCAAACGGCCACCUUUUAGUGGCUCUCCGGUAGCUCCACCACAAGAUAGGAUAUGUAGCCUUUUCUUAGUCCAAAUAUGACAGACCUUUCUUAGUCCAAAUAUGAUAGACCGUAUGAUUUGAGGUUUUACUAGUUGAGUCCAUAUUUCAUAUGCGUAUGAUUAUGCUAACGGCUAACUAAAGGUAUUGUGUGCUCUUGUGUUAAGUGCGUUGUGUUAUGGUGUGUGUAAAAUAUAUCUUGUAUGUUGUGUCUCUUGGCUUGUGAUGUGCAGGUGUAGGAUGCAAUAUGGCGGUCCACGGCAUGAGGUGAAGAUCAAGCGAAAAGUUCAUAUCGAUGUACUAGGGCUGUGAAGGGUGGACACGAGUAGGCUUGGACCGAGGGACCUGAGGAGUCCGAUCGGAGUCACGAGCAAUCCACAUGGUGCAUGGAAGAGCAAGAGUACACUGGGAUAAAGACAGCGUCAGUCGAGUCAAACAGGACAGAGGCGACUCGAGUAGGCGGCCCGGAAGUGGGAACGGAAGACUUGGAGGCGUCGAAGGCUUGGCGGAGGCCGGACAUGCGUCGACAUCGGUGAGUCACAUCGUGUGCGGCGUGCAAGAGGGUUUGACCGAUUUGGUCUUAAAAUCGGAGGUGAGUCACGCCUACAAGGUGUGUAAGAGGAUUUGACCAGUUUAGCCUCAAAACCGGGGGUCGAGUCCAGUGCAGCUGGACAGCGUCGAGUCGGAGGACACGUGGCACCAUCGCGAAGCUUGCGUCGAGGUGAAAUGAAGUCGUCAAAGUGCUGGGUCCGUUUGAUGUACCGACAAAAAAGUUGGACGGUUUUACCCUUAUGGGGUAUUUGGGUUGUAUGCUUCAUGUUAGGGUAAUUUGGACAUUUGCCAAAUACCUAUAUACACGUGAAGAGGGCUGUUGGGACAGUCACAUCUCUUGGGCUCUUUAGUGAUGAGCUUAUCAUUUUAUUGGUGAGAGUCUUUGGGAGGUGAGAUAGAGAGAGACGAGGAUCUUUAAUUUGAUUUUUUUGCCAUCGUGCUUAGGAGUGACCUGUAACCAAAUAUGUUGGAGUAAUCCAAAGAUGAAAUUCGUGCUCACUUGUUCCAUCCUCUCAAGAUAUGAGAUUUCUUUUUUGUAUUUUUCAGAGCAUUUUUGUGGGAACUGAGAUUUCUCUUUUUCGUAUUUUUGGGAAUAUUUUCGUGGGAAUUUUUGUUCUUCAUAUUUGAGCCCAAAUUUCGUGAGAUUUGUUGGGAGCUUUUGUUGUUAGGAUCCUUGUAAGCAACUUUGGUAUGACCCCUCAAAUUCCUCACGGAUUUAGCGUGAAUUCGAGGUUUGGGAAUCGAGGUUUUUCCCAAACCAUGUUGUUUGCAGGGCGUUCGGGUUUCUCCAAAAUCCGUGAUGAAUACUUGAGUUUUUCAAGAUCUUCUUCCUAUAUAUAUUAGCCCUUGAGUAGGUGCUUCCAUGGCUCAAGUUUCGUUUGGAUCCGUGGUGAAUUGAGGGAGUAAUUUGGGUUUCAAGUUGGGCGUUUUUCUCGGUGUUCUUCUGUUCUUGUUUCUGUUCGUGAGCUUCGGGUUCACGCGAAGGCAGAGGCGACGCGCUGCAGCGGCAUCCAGCACGCGCGACACGCUCGUGCCAAGGCAGCCCAGCUGGCGGCCAGCGGCCGAGCACCCAGCGACGCUCCAGGCCUGCCCAGGCGGACAGCCGCAACGACGUGCAUCAGGUGAGCAGUUAAUCUUGGAUGUCCCUUUCUUGCUACAGUCAAACAAUCAUUACAUGCACGUGCUGAGAUCGAGUACUAGAAUUGGCUGAUCAUAGUUCUUGGUUAAAGUAUUACCUAUAGCUCUGGUUAGUUUUCAGUUAGUGCUCUGUUUUGCAGGUUAAGAUAGCACAAUAGCUUUGUUUAUAUGCAUGAACAGUGAGCUAAAUAGCUAAUCAGUUCUUGGCCGAUGCAUUGCUUACCUGGUUGUUUCGUGGCAAUACGUCAGUAGCUCAUCAGUGUUACAAUAGCUGCAGCUUAGCUAUUUUAUAUGGAUUUUCACAUGGUUAACUAGAACUCUUGUCUUAGCCGGUAAUUUGUGAGCAGCCCCUUUAAGUUUUUGUCAUUGCUUCCGCUACGCUUUGAGCUUUUCUAAUCAUUUUUAGGAUGAUCUUGUCACGAGUUGACUUGUGUCACUUUGACGAUUAGAAGCGAGGUAUGUUUGAGGUGGCAAUUGAGAUACAGACUUUGUUCACUGAGAAUUUUCAAAGUCUCCCAUUCACCCCCUCUGGUCACCCGUCCCGAUCCUUCAAAAUAAUUUAGCACUGCCCACAGAAAUAACGACCAGACUAGGCCAUCCAUAAUGUGCCAGCGUACUCACUCAUCAGCGAGAUGAUUUGAAAAUGAAGAGGCAUAAAAUAAUAUAUCCACGGCGCAAGUUUCCAAUUGUUUAUGAGAAUAGAACCCAAUAUAAUGGAGUAACAAGUGAUUGUGUGCCCAUAUAUGUGAUUGAAAAGGUAGUAUCAGAUUACUACAUGACUCAUGAUCCAUCUGGAAAAAUAAGUAAUAUAAACGAAGAGUGCACGCAUUACUAUUGGAAAACAAAUGACCGCGCUAAAAACAAGGUAAAGAAUUGUUGUAGUGCGUGAUUCGCAAAAAGUAGUACCCGAUUGUGCUUCGUGACUCAUGAUCCAUCUGGAAAGUAAAUUACGUGUAAAUGAAAGUUAGCGGGAAACACACACACAUUGUUAUAUCAUGAAACAGAUGCUCACGCCGAGAUAACCAAUUCUCCGAUACGUGACCCUUAAGAUUAGUAUUGGAUUACACCGUGACUCAUCAUACAUAUCUUUAUUUAGAAAAGGAAAGAAAUUGCGUAUAAAUUAGCGAUAUAUUAAGCGACAAAUGAACAGAAGAUUGGGCACAUUGCCAUUUCGGUAUUUUGCAAAACAGAACGCCACGCCAAGUAAGCCGAUUGCUCAAAGGUUGGCCAUUAACCCGUGAUCUCGUCCACCUAGCUAGUAGCCCCCUUCCCCGUAUAAAAAGUCCCACCCUCCAAGCAAGCAGCCGUGAUAGCAAUAGAGCCCUUUUCUCCUCCUUCCAUCUCAAAGUCUCAACAUCUUCUUCCCCAUCCAUCACCACCAAACAUCAACGACCACCAAGCUGGCUAUGGGGCCUCAGCAAGACCGGCAGUCGUCCUUGGCGAACGGCACGGCGCCGAGGAAGGAGACGAAGGUGGUGCACUACCGGGAGUGCCAGCGGAACCACGCGGCGAGCAUCGGCGGGUACGCCGUGGACGGGUGCCGCGAGUUCAUGGCGUCGGGCGCGGAGGGCACGGCGGCGGCGCUCCUGUGCGCCGCCUGCGGGUGCCACCGCAGCUUCCACAGGCGCGAGGUGGAGGCCGACUGCGACUGCUCCUCCACCACCUCCGGCUGAAAGCUGAAUUCAAUCAUGAGCUGAUGAGCAUGUGAGAUCGAUCGAUCAUGGGUGUCAAAGGCAUUGAAAUGAUUGGUAGGUGCAUUAUAUUCAGCCGUAUGUGCUGGACCGAUAUUUAUUUCCUUUUUCUCUGUCCCUUUUGGUCUUGGAUUUUCGGUGAAACUUAUAUAUGUGUUGAUCGUUGGUAUAUGGUGCUUGUAACAGAUGUGCAUGUAUAUAGUCGAGUGCUUUCCUUGUUAAUUGUUUCCGUAUAGAAAUUAAUGAACACCUUAUUAUAUUUUGUAGAUACACCUGUGCUUCUUGUUGCUUGGGACCUAUGUACCUGAAUCACACUCGAGUUUUGCUUGAUGCUUCUUCUUUUUUUCUUGCUUCAAAGUCUGAUCAUAUUUGACUACGCAAAAGUGCGGGUUGUCAGAGCACCGCACCAUGGAUCUAGACACCUAGUUGUGCUUUUUUACCUUGAACGGAAAGGAAUGAGUCCACUUUGUUUUGUUCAGUUGAACGGGAUCACUUGUUUAUUGUGCAUGCUAUCCUCCCACUAACCUGAAUGAUACACGGUUCAUCAUGGUGAUGUGUUCAUGGGGACUCGGAAGAAGGGCUCUCUGGCCCAUGGCUACCCAUUUGUCAAUUCCAUCGGUUCUGUUGCUGUAGAUAUCAUACAUCCGGUAUCCCUGGCUACUGUUGAAGGCUAAUGAUCCGGUCGAAUCGGAAAAAAGUGGAGUACUGUAGUGCUUGUGCUGGAGACACUUGCCUGUUGCUGUCAAGUAGUGUCAACAUUGCCGCCGUAUCUUGGCAUCAUUUUCAGUUGUUUCACCGCGCUGUCGAUCAGAGAUUGCUGCCUGUAUCUCCGAUGGAGUACUGUCUGAUAUUCCUCGAGACGAAAUUUCACUAUGCAUUGAUAAUUUGCAGCCUAAAUUAUUGCGACAUUAAUUCAGAGAGAUUCAGAUUAAGGCAUGGUUCCCUCUGAAUCCAUCUCUGAUAUGCGGUGCAGUUACUAAUAAUUAAUAUGCACGAGCGGCCGGCACGGUGGGCCCGCACUGCUCGAUCGGAUUGCCGUAUGCACUCUGUAGUUGCCAGCUCCAGCUAACUAUAGUGUGUGCUGUGCUGGGACCCCGGCCGCUGGAGCUGUCCAUUACCGGUGGCCCGUGGAUGCCCGCCGUCCAAAUCUUCUUUUCUUCAUUUUACACGGUGAAGUAAGCAAACGGACAAUUACUCGCAAACCAUAAUAGAUUCACUUGUGUGUGAAAGUCACCAACAUUCAACCUUGCUUAGUGGAGGCUUGUCAAUUUCUAUAGCAGUCUUCUCAAUUUCCCACUUCAUUUUUUUUUACCGUAUUGAAUCUUCCUCACCUACUACUCAUGACUUUAAGAGUGUGUUGAUCACCUAAAGGUCAGCUGCCGGUCCAUUUUUGCCAGAUGUGUGCGUAUGAGUUCAAGCACAAACUAUCUAGAGUUGAUUUCCUGCUAAAUUUAGUAGGAGCACUGCCAAACAGUUUUUCAGGGAGAAGUGAUCCUCUGCUAAUUCUAUGAAGUGAUUCUCUAAAAUGAACUAAGAGGUUGGAGGUGAAAAAAGUAGCUUCUUCUGAUUCUGUGAAGCGAUUCUCUAUUCUGAUUUUAAGAGUUAUUUAUGCUAGAGAAUCACUUUCAGCCACAGAAUCACUUCUCUUAGAGAAUCAACUCCCAUGAAGAAUCAGAAUCGGAUGAAACUCCACCAAACAGGCCCUAAGUCACUCCUAUGGCUCCAUGCAUGUGCUUUUGCUCUCCGGGUUCAAAUUAUCAAGCUUUUCAAUUUUGCGCCAGGUAUCACGAGCACCUUGCAUGGCUCAACAGUUUGGUAGCACCAUUUCGCUUUAAGUGCAUACCGAUCAUGCGCGCUAGCUCGAGGCAAUCAAUGGAUCUACGUGCAUGUACGUGUGGGUGUUCUUGGACCUCACCUCAAUGUGUUGCUAGCUCUUAUAUAGAUUGGGGCUGCAAAGGCUGGGUGCUUGAUUGGGUGCGAUUUUGCAACCUUGGGGUGCAGCACGUGCGUCACAUGUCUCCUUUUCAUGCUGAGUAUGUGCUCACUCCUUUUCAAUUGUUGUGCACAUUUGUACGUGUUAUAGUGGUGUUGCCUGCAAAUGCAUGCAUGAGUUAUCACAGCAAAAUAAGAUGCGUGGAUGCCACUCUUCAGCCCGCUCAUUGUUUAGUGCACUAUUUGAAAAUUCAUUUCUACGGAGCUGAUCAAAGCUAAGCAAUUCCACCUGUUCCCUCAACCAACCAAUCAAGCCGCAAAAACCUUGCAGAAAAAAUUGGAGCCCAAAGUGUUUCCAGCUCAAAUAUUUUGGCCCAAGAAAUUAGUUGCCGGUCCAACAUUAACUGGGCCAAGCCCAUCUCUCGCCAAUGUCAGCGUGCAGCCCACAAAUGGAUGGACCCACAUGCGGUUGGAUCCCCAAAAUCUCAACGCAACUGGCGGCGGGGCUUCCCUCCCAAAACGAAAUUCCAAAUUCGAUCCCCCGCGCGCCCUCACAAAACGCCCAAAUCCAAGUGCCAAACCCCUCUCCCUCCCGCCGCUCCGCACCCCAGCCCAGAUCCCCAUUUCUCAAUCCCUCCGCGCCGAGCUCCAAUUCCAAUUCCCCACACGCCCUCGAUCCCGAUUGAUGCAGCCGCGAUGGUGCGCGAGCUGCGCGUCGACUCCUUCUACGCGCGCCUCCGCGCCGCCGCCGCCGCGGCGGGCUCCUCCUCCCCGCUCCUGAUCCUCCCCUCCGCCGCCGACGCCGACUCCCUCUGCGCCGUCAGGGCCCUCGCCCACGUCCUCUCCGCCGACUCCAUCCGCUUCUCCAUCUACCCCGUCGCCUCCGCCGCCAGGGCCAGGGACCUCCUCGCCUCCUUCUCCGCCACCACCGUCCCGCUCUGCUGCGUCCUCGUCAACUGGGGCGCCCACCGCGACCUCCGCGGGAUCCUGCCCCACGCUGCCACCGCCUUCGUCGUCGACUCCCACCGCCCCGUCCACCUCCACAACCUCUGCGCCCACAAUGACCGCGUGGUGGUGCUAUUCACCGCCGACGACGAGCACACCGCGGAUCUCUCCUACGACUUCGACCUCUCAUCCCUCGCCGACGCCUCCGACCUCGCCGCCGAGGGGGACGCCGACGACCAUCUCCGCGUCCCUGACGAGGACGACGAAAACUCCGAUGCCUCGGAAUCCGACUCCGACGCCGAGGACGGCGGCAGGAGGAAGAGGCGCCGGCUCUCCGACGACGCGGAGGCGGAAGGCGGCGACCCCGUCAGGCUCUUCGCCAAGCUGCGCCGGGAGUACUACCGCCUCGGCACCUUCCACGGCAAGCCGUCGGGGUGCCUCAUGUACGACCUCGCCCACGCCCUGCGCAAGAACACCAACGAGCUCCUCUGGCUCGCCUGCGUCGCCCUCACCGACCAGUUCGUCCACGACCGCAUCACCAACGAGCGCUACCAGGCCGCCGUCAUGGAGCUCGAGCAGCACAUCAACGGCUCGGGCAACCUCGACCCCUCCGGCGUCGGCUCCGUCGUCACGCUCAAGGACGGCACCAAGAUCCGGGCGCCGGAGGCCUCCCGCAUCGCCUACGAGGACGAGCCCAGGCUCAUGCUGCUGCGGGAGUGGAGCUUGUUCGACUCCAUGCUCUGCUCCUCCUAUGUUGCCACUAAGCUCAAGACGUGGAGCGACAAUGGUCUCAAGAAGCUCAAGCUGCUAUUGGCGAGGAUGGGGUUCCCACUUGCAGAUUGCCAGAAGAACUUCCAGUACAUGAGCAUGGAGGUCAAGCGCAAGAUGCGGGAUGAGUUUGACCGCUUCCUGCCCGAGUACGGGCUCACUGAAUUCUACUACCGGAGCUUCCUGAGAGUGCACGGCUACAGGUCCAAGGUUUCUGCUGCAGAUGUUGUGUAUGGCGUCACAGCUUUGCUCGAAUCCCUCAAUUCCGAGUCCAAGGACUCAAAGGAGUCUUUGGCUGCUGAGCAGUUUUGGGUUGCUUACUCUGCAUUGUCACUGAGCAAUGUUGAUCAGUUGCGGAAAGGGAUGCAGUCUGCAAUUGAAAUACAGAGGGCAAUAUUGAGGCAAGGAAGCUCGGCGAUUACUAAGACAGGGUUUAUACGGAGCGCCAAGAAGUUCCGGUGGGUGAAGCUUGAUGACCCUGUGGACACUAACAAGCUUUGCCAUCCACAAGCACUUACAAAAUUCUGUUUCUUUCUGAUGGAUGCACUGAAGGAAAGGGGUGCGAGGAUGAAGCCACUAAUCUGUGCUUGCUUGGCAAAGGAACCUGAGAAGGUGCUGGUUGUCGGGGUAUGUGGGAAGCCAAGGCUUGGGGCUGUUCAGGGUAAUGCGUUUGGAAAUGCAUUCAGAUCAGCGGCAGAGGAGAUUGGCGCAGACUAUUUCCACGACAUGUUUGAGUCAUCAUGGAUUGUUCUGGAUGUUGUUGCUGUCAGUUCUUUCAUGAUUCGGUUGACUGAGAAGCUAUGAUCAGAUGGCAUUUGCUUGUAAAACGCGGGUGAUUCUUUCAGGUCCCAAGAUGGGAGGGCUCAGGCAUGAUUCUCCCUGAAUAAAGGUGCUUGAGGCCAGCCAGGUGGUAAAUGGCAUGUAUUUUCCGAAAUACCAGUCCAGCUGCCAUUUCACUAACGUAGUGAAAGCCGCCUGACAAGCAUUCUGCUUUGCUAAGUUUGAGCUGCCCAGUGAUUGUGACUUUAGAAACUGAGAAGAAGAGGACUUUCCUCAACUCCCCCAUUAGAAAAUGAUAGAUCUACAGAUUCUAACGUAGAGGGGGAAAAGUAUGUUUGUUUACUGUUUUUCUUUAUCUGAUAGAAUGGAUGUCUGUACGUAUCUUCAUAAACAUGCUUGUGGACAUUUGUUGUAUUCAAUUCUGUAUCACCAUUCACCAAGUGUUGAAAUUCUUUGUGUUUAUAACAAGCUCCUUUAUCUAGUGUCUGAGCCUGCUCUGGUUUCCACAAACUACAAAACCAUCUUAGGAGCUGAUAUGUUCUUUUCUGUUACAAAUAAUGCUGAAGCAAGGAAGUGGUCACUUUAUUUUUUUCAGUCUUGAUGGCUGUAAAUCUGUACCAUAUUGUUCAUGAUAUUUGUCGUGCUUCCACAAAUUUACACAGUUGAUCUUUGUACAAAUAUAUAUCGGGUAUGUCAUCUCGUGGACCAGAUAGUUCAGGUAACUUAGCAACUCGGGUUGUACAUCCUCAAUGCAGUGAACAAGUGCUCGCAAGGAACUAAUAUGUUUUGUACAGCAAAGAAGGUGCUGUUUUGAAAUAAAGUCUUAUGAUUGCUGUAGAGCUGUAAUUGUUGUGUUCAUCCACUAGGCUACAAACCAACCCUUCAAUCUUUGAAUGGAUAUCCUGAAAUUUGACUGAUUUGUAUCCUACAGGUAUAGGCUAAUAUGUGAUGCAGUUUUAGUGAGUGAUUUGUAUCCUAUAGGUAUAGGUUAAUACAUGACAUGAUUUAGUGAUUUUUACAUUAUAUAAGAACUUGAAUUUCAACCAGAUAUCAUAAGAUUCAUGAUUCUAUGAUGAGUAUUAUAGAAAAGUAGAGCAGAGUUCCAUUUUCAUAUGUGAACUGAUGCUAAAUUGCUGAUGUUAUCCAAUUCAUUUUUAGGAUAUACUUUAUCUGCAGGAAAUGUUGGUCAUCUCAAUUUGAUUUUAAUCAUGAAAAUUUGUUAAUGAUGAUAAAUGGAUUUCUUGUAUGAAAAUUCUGUUGCUUUUUAUGAUUGCAGUUUAUUAUGAACCGGUGAGAUAUUUUCUUAUACAGUAUCAGUAAUCAAAGUCCGCAGGAGUAAGAAACACUUCCAACUGAAUUAACUGUAUUUCUGUUUGAUCAUCUAAGUAACAAUCGAAAAUUUCCACUCUUUUUUUUCUCCUUCAUUCCUGUCAGGCACGUAUAUUACGUGAUGUACCUUGCCAUGUAUACAAGGAUACAAUCAUGUAUACGUUGUACAGUCUUGCAUACAUGGCAAGGUACAAUCACGUACUAUACAUGCCUAAUUUCCAUACUAUGUGCAUGCAGCAAUUUUCUAAAUUAGUUCUAUUGCAAUUUAUCAUAUAACUGGUAGCUAAUUCAUACCCUUAUUCUCAAGGAAGAUUGAUGUAGUACUUUCUGUUACCUACUGAGCAUUGUUGAAAUAAAUAAACUAACAAAUCUGAGAACUUUGAAUUGGUAGCUGUAUCACCAUAACCUUAUGACAUGUUCAGCUUAGUUUGGGUUUCCCUCUUCCUCUUACUGGAAGUGUUUGCUUGUAAGUAGAAAGCUUUUGUUUCUUUGCAGUGAUUUUCACUCUUUGCUGCAAGUAUACUUCUGCACUAUGCAGUGAUGAUCUAGGAUAUUUUUACACCGGGUUGUAAUGAUAAACUGCGAGCUUUAUAAAUUCUGGCCCUAAGUUGAAGUCCAAAUGGUCUUGGAAACCGUUUGAGCUGUGAACGGGGACUGCAGGACAGCCCAUUUCUCCUUAUUCCCUGCUAAUUUCUGGAGAUCCAAAUCACUAAACCUGAAUUUGUCCACAUGUUUCAGACAGUGGUGGUCAAUGCUGUUGGUUGAGUGGGGAUAGCGCCGGCACCCUGUGGUUUCGGACAUGGGCAUGACUGGUUAUGCAACUGCCUCUGGCUUUCAUUACCAUGUUGUUACCAAUCCACACGUGUGGCACUCCAUCGCUGUGGAGUGGUCCAUUGCACCUCUGUUUUCUGUUUUGUAAGUUCCCCUCCUUUCUGGACACCUGCUUGAUUUUUGUUGAUACCAAUAAGAAUCGCUUUCAUUAGGUUAUCUUUCAUUAGGUUAUCAUUAUCAUUAUUAUGCAUCGGUAGCUUAAUAUCACACUUUACUAGGCAUUUAAUCAAAGUGAACUUCUCUGCAUUUUUUAUUAGUCUUCAAUAAUUCACCUUCCCUUCAGAGUUCUCCCUUUUAAUAAAAUACUGCCCACAUGGUUUCCAUCCUAACAGCUAGCAAGCACAGUUUUCCAAUGCCUAACUCGUGUUUUCUUGUACUUAGGUCUGACGAUGACGUCCAAUGAUCCAAUCCAAUGUUGAUCAAGGUUGACGGUUGCUGUAUAACUGUUUAACUAGAUGUUGAUGCAUAAACAUCGGCUCCAUGAACAACUGAAUCUUUGAUGAUGACUUGACAUCCACCUAUAUAUUGUGUUCUAUUACUCUGUCCUGUCCUCUUUUGGUCGAUUUUCUUGUUGAAAAGAGUGUUACGUGUCGUUUCUACUAGAUAGCAUCAAUUUGAAUACAAGAAAUGAGAAUUUUGGACCACAUCUUCAACUGAGAGCUUUACCUGUACAGUUUAGUUUACAUCAAUCAGACAUGCUCCUUUCUACUACACAAUCCACAUCAAACUCGUUGAAAGCAAUAGAGAUUGCGUGUAAUAAUAGAUUGAUUAGGGUAUACAAAUAUAUAGGCAGCCCUUAGUGAGGUUUAUAGAAACACAACCGACCAAGAGAUAAGACUGCCCAUCCUAAUCCAUCCCGGACUCGUGAUACUAUGAAAGCAAUAGAGAUUGCGUGGAAUAAUAGAUUGAUUAGGGUAUACAACAUGUACGAAUAUAUAGGCAGCCCUUGGUGAGGUUUAUAAAAACACAUACGACCAAGGGAUAAGGGAUAAAACUGCCCAUCCUAAUCCAUCUAGGGCACGGCAGGGAGCCGGCCUGGGCUUGGCACACAGCCAGGACCCAUGUGCACGCGCAGCACAUGUAGCACAUACACAUCUUCUAACACUCGUUGCCUAGAGUGCCCUUGGGUUUUCAUUGUGGUUCGACGACCUAUUGACUAGUGUUUUUCUUUAGGUUGGUCAUUCUCAAUCAUGAAAAUUGUAAAUUGAUUGUCCAGUCUGACGAUACUUUUGUUCCUGUACGAAUUGCGGACAGCUAGUGGUCCUAUGCUAAUUCCUUACAACCAGCAUAAUCAUGUGCCAUGCUUUCCUUCAAAUUCUGGUUGAUGGGGGCACAUACGGCUACUGUAAAUAGUCAUGAUUUGCUAGCACAUUCUGCACUCAUACGUCCUUAUAUACCUUGCUUUCUACAUGAAUAUAAUUAGAUAUUAAAGCAUCAGGAGAACAGCUUUCACUCAUUCAAAAAUAUAUGAUCAGUUUACACAAAAUGGUUUGCUUGAUAAAAUUGUGCGAAUAUUGAGCAUUUUGAAUUUUCCACAAUUCAAUAAGCCAAAGAAAUAUUUGCUCUACUUUAUCUUGAUCUCAAUAAAUAAAUUAACUAACCAAUUUAUGUUCACUUUUGCUACUGUUGUGAUUUGUGAUUAUUGUUAGUUGGCAAUCAUCCAUCCCAUCCUUUCUUAUCUCAAUAUUUAUAAUCGAUUGAUGGUCCUGUGAUGACAAAUUCAUAUUAUUUUCCCAACUUGCAGUCUGCAGAUAGUGCUGCCUGCCGAUCUUUAUUUUUGGAUAUGCAGAUGGCACUAAGUUGUGCCAAAUGGCUUCAUCAGCUCUUUGUUCUGUUGGAGCUUGAAUCUUGGCACAAUACCUGGAUAAAAUAGCAGGCACUGUGGCAUGUUUCAUAACCUCUUGAAUACCAUAUCAAGCCUAUUAAAUGUGCUCUAGUGGGGAAAGCCUGCAUUUAAUAAUUGGUUAUGGGACGGUCUCAUAUAUAUGCUUAUGACGUGUGACAAAUAAGCACGAUUAUGAUGACGUAGUCAUACUGCUUUGUUGCCUAAAUAUACAUCAAUGAAUCACAUAUAUUGAUUCUCAAACAGAGUGAUCCUGUAUUGGACAGCUAUACAAGUGGAAGAUAUGCGGUGAACAAUUUAUGCCUGUGAAGUUCGCUAGUGUAGCCUGUAUAAUUAGAAAGCUCUAGCUUAUCUACAAUUCUAUUUUAUAUAAGUGUUCUGUACUAAAUGUGUAAAUUCAAUUCUUAAGCAAGAAAUAUUUGUUUGCAUAUUCACUAGUAAAGGUCAGUAGUCUCAAAAUAUAGGCAUUUCUAUCAUAGCUGAUAAAGCUUUCAUUUAUUUUCUGAAUUCUGAUAAUAUCAACCUUUGUAUUGUCUACAGUUCUCCUGGUCACUUUGUGGUCCCUCUUAGAUAUACUUUCUAGAAUCUAUUCUUCUGAAAUUGAAAAAAAAAUCUACCAAGAGCUUGGUAUUCGUAAAGUUCUCAUGACAAUAUUUGUAACAGGAGUUGUCUUAGUUGAAGGCAAUGGCUGUGGUGGUCUUACUCAACAACAACAGAACUGGCUGUCUAAGGUGGUCCUUGACUCCUUGUGGAGUCUGGUUAGUAGUUGGGAGGUAGCUACUAGCUUUGUUGUCAUGAACUCAUUGAUUAUACUGUUCAAAUGUACUUUCAUGUGAACCAAGAUAUGGACAAGUUAAAGGCUUGUCUAAAGGUGUUUUUUCACAAUCUUUUGAACAAAUAGCGCAAGUGCAAGGUGUAUUUUUGUAAAAGAGAAAUAAUACUUUCAUUUUUCUGCAGCAGUUGUUUCACUUUUAGUCACAGAUUUCUGCAGUAGUUCUAGUUUUUUUAGCAGCAACCUGAGUUAAGUUGUUAAAGGUCAUGUGCUUUUGCAAUAUUCCCUCUUUAUAUAUCACCUAUAAUUAGAUGUAGAGUCAGGCCUGCUGAGUACCUAAAAUGCACUGAUGGAGAUAUUUGGACUUUGACUUCUAAAAAUUCAUAGCAUCUGAGCAGAAAUAGUUCAUUCUUCAGUAAAGAAGCAGGUCACUGCAAUUUCUUGAAUAGCUGUACAUGUUAUUUCCCUGGCAGACAAGGUGGUAGUUUUUGUAUGGACAUAUAAUUUCCAGGAACUGGAAUGCUAUUGCCAAUUCAUUGAUAUAUUAAGGUUCCAGAAGGCACGUUUAUUUUGUGUGUUUUUCACUUUGUUCUACUUCUUUCAUGACUACAUAGUUUUGCAGAUGCAGGAAAGGCUAAAAAAUAUGACCGAGUGCUAUCUUCCUUUUCUUUUCUUUGUAAAAAGACUUGCUUAUCUUGUUAACAAGUCAAUCUUCUGUGACACGCAACAUGGUUCACAUGUAGAUGUGGCUUAUGCAUAAAAUUGACAAAAAGGGAAUAAGAGAAACUGUGCAGUGUCUUUGUAUGAUACAUUAAGUAGAAAUUAGUUUUUGAAAUAAUUGUUACACAAAGCUACUUAACUGGCUAGAAUCUUUUUGUCCGGUGACAAAAAGCUUACACUUGUUUUCAUCAGGUGUAAUGCAGGCUCACAUAAAAAACCUUGUCACAAUCCCAUAAAUUUGGACUGGAAAGUUUUUUUGAGUUAACUGAAAUCCUUACUCAUUUAAAUAUUCAUGGGUGACAUUGUUCAGGUCGUCAGAUCUUUCCUUUUCUUUUGUUACAUUAUCUGCCUAUUAAAGAGCAAUUAAAGAACUGAUGAUGACACUAUCCUUAUGCUACAGAAUGUGUCACUUUCAAACGGCUUGUAUUUCUUACUCCUGAGGGAGGGUAUCAUCUAUUAGGGGCCACCCGGUGUUAAUGAGAUCCAGCUUUGAGUCUAUUGCCUUUUGUGCAGAAAUAAUACCGAUGGAAACUUACGUCUGUCAAUCGACGAUGUCAUAUGGAAUGUGCAUCUGGACAUAAGACAAACGCAGGCCUCAGAACAAAGACCCAUCCUUGCAGAAGUGGUAUAGGUCCAGAUGAAAAGAACAGUUGAUGCUGUAAGGUAUAGGUCCACACAUAAAGACUCCUUUUUUGACUGGUGAUUAUGAGCUGUAAGGUAAAACCUUUGCACAAGAGACUUCAGGAUUCCUUAGAAUCAAUAUUCAGUGGUCAAGGGUCAUGAACUGCCCCUCAGCAUGCUGCAAUGGUUUUCACAUCACUUCAGUUCCAGAACCGAGGAUUGAUUUUGCCUGUUACGAAAACAGAUAUAUAAACAGCUUUUCGACGAAACCGACAACCUAUCUGUAUUACUAUGCUGCAAGAAGUUUCCUGAAAGGCAGUGGAGCUUCGUCCAGAGGUAACAUAAAUUGACCUUUCGUACUUAAUGCCUACCUGCGGGUUGGUUGUGCUGGCACAUUCUUCCAUUGGUACGGUUCAAUUACACGUGGCCAUAUGGUCCUGCCUUGGUCCCUCCUAUACACUGAUGGCUAUACUGAGACUGAGAUGCAGGCUUCUAAUCGAUGCUUAUUGUGCUCUGAAGAUAUGUAUGUAGUUACUGGAUGCUUUUGCAUAGAUGAGCUAAAUGGAAUUAUCAUGGCCUUGCCUUCAAUCAAACAUACAUCAUAUGCAGAUUAAUUUUAAUUCAUGUUUAGUUGGUGUUUCAUAUUUCCUAGUUUGAAUCAGCGCAGAGUGUGCUAGGAUUGUUCUUUUCCUGGCUGGAUGCAGAUGGUCCUCAACCUAUUUUUGCCGGGACAGAAGGUUGUCUUCCUUCCAUUUGGUUGAAGACUUAAUGAAAUCAGUUAUAGACUAUGACUGGACUUAACAUUCCUAGUUGUGGUUGGUAUAGGACAAAGUUUAAACGGUAUAUGCUGAUAUGAUCUCUGGUCCAGCUCUACCUGAUCCGAGACAUGCAUAUAUCUGCACCAAGCAAGCUGGGUCAGUUGUUCUGUACUCAGGUGUGCAACAUCGAGAUUCUGGCGACAGACUAGGCGUUGUACAGGCAGAACAAUCAAAGCUUGAGACAUUAAUCAGCUUACACUUGCUCUGAGGUUUUGCUCUCAUCCAAAGAUCAAUAUACCAUUUGAGAUUUUCAUGUUUUACACUUAAUAAACAUAAAGAAAUAUGAAGUUUGCACACUGCCUUUAAUUUUGCAGUAUUUCUAUAUUUAUCAUGUUAGGCUCAGUGUAUAAUACCAGCGGUGUUGAUUUCUGGCAGUUGUCGUUUUUAUGUCAGUAGUAUGUAAUAGCUUGUCUAUGUUUUUUGGCCAGCAGUUCUGGUUGCCAGUUGUGCAUUGUAGGCCGCUUAAAACUCUUUCUCCUUUGUAAUAUACUGCACAACAAUUUCUUGAAAAAUAGAUGCAGAGGUUUACGUUUUCUGCAAAUGACAUAAAAGGGACGUGUACCAGAGAAGGACACGUCAGAACAUGCCUUAAUCAUCGAAUACUAACAUUCCCUUCUAUACUGAUGCCAGCAUUCUCUGUUCUAGUGUUCUACCUUUGGAUUUAAUUUGACAUGUGACUAACUAGCAACGCAUUUCCACUUAUGUUGAUGAUCUUGCAUUGCUAGGCACCAAGUAUGCCAAUAUUUUGCACCAUGGUAGGGAAUGCAUGUUAUUUUCCAUUGAAAGCUAUUGCAUAAAUACUUUAACACUUGUUUAAUUUUCCAUGGAAGCAUUAAAGCAUUUGAAAAGAAAAGAAAUGAUUUGUACUAAAUGAAUGGGAGGGGAUAGGAAAAAAAAAGAAAAUAAAAAAUGGGAGUUGGGUUUUCUUUCUGCACUGAAUGUGAUCAUGGACCAUCUGCUUGCUGAUGGAGACUUGCAAUUACAUCAGGGACCACCUCUCUGAAGAUUUUUUUUUCUUAUUAUUUUCCUUGAGUAUACUUCUCUUUAGCUUCUAUCUAGCAAAAUUAAGUCUAUACUCCACGCAUUCAUUCAUUUUUUUGUGAGUACUGCCAUUCUGCAUUUCAUAUUUCAGGACUGACCAAUGCAAAUGUCCAUGCUUGGCUUGCUUGCUAGACAUAGGUAAUAUUUCACUGUCCCAUAUAUUAAGUCUAUUCACAUGUUUUUAAAAACAACGGGAUAAUUCUAAUUCUCUACUAAUGGACAAAUAGAAACCAAGAGUUCAACAAACUGAUCUAAGUGCACCUCAAUAUGUAUAAAAGAAAUAUAUAUAUAUAACAAAUUAAUGCGAACCAUGUAGUUAAUUACAUCAUGCUGACAUGCUUGCAUGUCAUUUGGUCAUCCUUGCUUAUUCCUGUUGCUGUCUCUUAUUCUUCUGACUUUUGAUUGGCAGUGUCAAAUCUACCACAGUAACGUGUCACUAACUAGAUGACCGUGCCUCACACGGAGUUUGACUACUAUGUAUGUAUUGUUCUUUUCUCAUGAAUGGAUACAAUGCAACAUAUAGUAUAUCAAGUCUCCUACUGAAAGUAAUCUGAACCAAUAAAUUCUAUCUAACUGACGUGUAUUUGUCUUCUUUGUUUGAUCUUCUAGAACAUCAUUGGAACUGAGCAGCAGGCGUCGGACAGAUCCAUGAGGUCGACGACCUGCUCGGCGGCCUCUUCGAACAGCCACUUCUCGAUCGGAGACAGCGGCCCCUGCUGGUGGUGUUGCUGCUUGGGCUCGUUGUCGUAACCGCGGUGUCCCAUCGUCAACGCCGGCUGCUGCUGCGGCGGUGGCGACGGCGGCAGCAUGUCGCUGAAUGGUGGCAGCGUAUUACUGCCGCCCGACAUGUGGUUGAACGACAGCAAAGGGUUGAUGUCGGUGGCACAGGGCUUGAUGUCGGCGGUGGCGUCGUUCUGCGUUGGUGGGGAACUCUUCAUGAAUCCGUUGAGCAGCUUGGAUAUGUUGUCCAUGCUGGAGGCGUACGACGAGGAGGAGCUGUCACCGUCGGUGGCGGCGAACGGCGAGCGCCGGGCGAUGAGCUGGGUGACCUCGGCCGGGUUGCUGCAGGCUGCUGGACGCGCGUAGUUGUAGUCCUUGCUGCCGAUUAUGUCAUGAUGGAGAUCGACAUGAUGGCUGGCGCCGGCGGUGGUAGGUAUGAUGGAAGAAGAUUCAGAGGAGGGGGGAGGUGGCGCGAAGAUUGCGCCGAUGGCUUGGUGCUUCUUGAGCUUCUUCUUGAGGUGGGUGUUCCAGUAGUUCUUGAUGUCAUUGUCGGUCCGCUGGGGGAGGUACGAAGCUAUGGCCGCCCAUCUGCAUAUAUUCAUGUGUAGGGACUGCGGGUCAAUCACCAUGCACGCCGCCAUGGAUGGCCGGAUUGAGCAAGAUGCGAAGAUACCUGUUGCCUAGCAAGGACUGGAGGUGGACGAUGAUGCCUUCCUCGUGGGGCGUGAAGUUGCCUCGCCGGAUGCCGGGGCGGAGGUAGUUGGUCCAGCGGAGGCGGCAGCUCUUGCUGCAGCGCAUGAGGCCGGUGUUGAUGGGCACGGAGCGCCAGUUGCCGGGGCCGUGCUCCUGGAUGUAGGAGACAAGGAUGAUGUCCUCCUCCGGCGUCCAUGGCCCCUUCUUGAUCCCCACCUUGUCGCAGCACGGCGGCCUCCCCAUCGUCGUGUCUUCCUUCUCUCCGGCCGGCCGGUGCCUGGCUGCCUGCAGUGUGGUACUAGUAGUAGCUUCCCUACUGUUGUCCCAUGAAGAUGGAGCGUGUGCCGGCCGGUUAUAUAUAGGACAAGAGGUGAAUGUGAGUGAGCUCCUUUUCACUUGCUAUCAUCUAACUAACCUGCUAGCAGCCAGCAACUACCAUGUUCUCGCUGAUGAUCUCUUUUCACUCAGGCAGCUAUGUGUGCAUGCAUGCUUUCCCUUUCUGUCAAGGACAUCACAUGAAUCAGAGAAGUUGACCCAGGCCCACUUCCAAUUUAAAGCAUGGAUUACCUAGAGGAACAGUUUGCUACUGUGUGAAAUUUAAAGCUAGACUUUUGCAUGUACUCCUCUUACUCGAGGCAUUUUGUUCUGCCGUGUAGGAACGACAUAGCGGUUGCCAGGACCCAGAAGCUGGAUGAUAGCUAGGUUCCAACAAAAGGUCUUGUAAUUUUCUUUUUUUUUAAAAAUGGACAAUUGUUUUUGACCUGUAAUGAUUCUGUCUCUCCAUAGAUGAAGUACAUUGGACUGCUAUAUGAAAUACACAUAGGAAUUUUACUAGCACAGAGUUGUACAAGUCAGCUAAGCCCCCUUUUAAUUAAAAACCUUAGCUAGUUUAUCUAUAUAUUAUUGUCUGCCUGGACUCUGGAUCACAAGUUCACAACAAAAGUCGACCAGGAUACGAUCGAUGAGCUUGUAUGCCAGUUGCUAGCUGAGAACGGAUAGAUAUAUUAAUUGGCCAUGCUUGCAUGUAUGAGUAUGACCUGGCCCCUCCUGCCAUGGUGUACGGCCCUGCAGUAGCAUCUUGUUGUGCUUGUGGGAUUUUUAGGUUCCACGUCACGCGUUCCUGCCAUUGAUGGGCAACCUGUCGCUUCAACCCUAUUUAUAAACCCACGUGCCCUUUUACUUGAUAGUAUACCCUCACGCGCGUGAUGCAACGCUUUACUCUUUUUCUUCCUUUUUUUUUGCGCAUCAACGCUUCUAGUGAUACAUGUGCGCAACAUUUCAGCCUACAGAUCACUGAGCUCAUUUAUUUGUGCCCGCUCUUUGUGCAGUGCGAGAUUAUGUCAAUAUAUAUAUAUAUAUAUAUAUAUAUAUAUAUAUAUAUAUAUAUAUAUAUAUAUAUAUAUAUAUAUAUAUAUAUAUAUAUAUAUAUAUAUAUAUAUAUAUAUAUAUAUAUGAGAUCUUGACCACAUGCAUGUUCUCAUCUUUUCUUUCACCGCUACAAACAUUUUAUAGGGGGUGGUAACAUGUUUAUAUACACAUUUCGCCACCGCGUAUGAUCUAAGAAACUAAAUAGUAUUAAGCAAACACAUAUAUUUAUGUACUUCUUAAGAUUGAAAGCGUAAAUGUGGUGUUUUAUGAUUCAUGCCAUGCAAUUUUUAAUUUUUGAAAUUGGUAGCUAAAAUUGUUGCCACGUAGGUCCAAAACGCCACAAAUAUACAAUUUGGACCGAAGAAGUCUAUUUCUGAUGCAAACAUAUAUAUUUGUGCAAUUUUUUUUUGCAUGCAGUACAUUAUAUACCAUGCAUAACCUUAGAAGUAUGUAUGUGUGUGUCUCUCUCUCUAUAUAUAAAAGCUAAUUCUAUGGCCGGGCCAGUCCUCCUCACCACACCCGAUCGAACCGGUAUUCUGGCAGACCGCGCCAUCUGCCGUCGAUCCUGCGCGGCUCCGAGCCUCGCAUGAUGGCUCGACCCGGCUCCGAGCCCGGAGCACCGAUUAGCCAAACACCCCAUCCCAAAAUUCCUCCCAAUUCUCAUCCCACGCGCACGCAGAAUCGCCGUCGAAUAUCCCGUUUCUCAUCUCGCGGUGACCCUGAGGCGGCCCUUCCCCUCUCGCGGCAAUAGUGCCCUCUGCCCUCCCGAACCAGCGACACCAUCUUGAGUGCCCGGGAGGCGAUGAAGUCAGAUUCCAGCGGCAGACAGGCCACGGAGACGGAGAGAUCCUAACCAGGUCGCGCAUGGGAGAUCAGGUUACGCCGUUCUCACUGCCCACUUAUUAGACUGCCAAACGAUUCCGGUAAUCUAUCUUAUUCUGUAUAUUUAAUUCGAUUUGAUUGCGUAGUAGGAACCUGAAGUCAGAUUAGGGAUUAGGCUUAUGCAAGUUAAUCCCCUCUCCCUAUCUAAGCAGUUUGAUUCAAUUGAUUCCAUCAUUGCUAAUUUUGUUUUUUCCUUUGCGAAACCUUAAAUGCGAAUCAGGUUUGGGGACUGAUUGGCACCUCCUGCCAAACACCCAAAUUAUCAAAGUCUCGUUAUCUUUUGACUCUUACUGCAGAUUGAAAUUCGUUUUUUUAGCAGAUUUAUUAGGCAAACGUGCUUGCGAUCUCCAAUUAAAGCAAAGAGGUAUAUCGCAGUAAGCUUGUCACUAGGAUUUUGCUUCUCGUAAAUUAUAUACAAUACUGAAGUCAUCAGUACGUUUUGGGUCAUUGCUGAAGCCAUUGCUAUCACCAUGCUAUGCUGGAUUCUAAAAAAUUUGGCAUCAUUUUAUAGUAACUUGAUUGUGCCAUUCUAGUAUAUUGAUUAUGCAUGCCAUUGUUGUAAAUUUGACCAUGUAAGUAUCAAUUUUCGUAAUUCUGGUACGAGGGAUUCUAAUAAACUCGACACUAUUUUAUACUAACUUGAUUAUGCCAUUGUGGUAAAUGAUCUUGUGGUUAAUUAAUGAUGCCAUUCUUGUAAAAUUGGCCAAACCAUUAACCUAACCAUUCUAGUAAAUUGAUGAUGGCAUUGUGGUAAAUUCAAACAAGCAUGGCUGUCUUAUCAUUCAAUGUCCUCGCUUUUUUCAGAGUAAUAUUUUUGAUUUUUCACCCUUGCAGAUUGAAAAUUGAUAUGUUCAGCAGUCCUGUAGUAAGGAGCUUACGAUCCCUAUUAACAAAAAGAUAUCUGCCGUAGCUUCCAAUAACUGCAAAGAUAUUAUAGUAGAUGUGUUGUUGUAAAUUUGUUUUUUCACAAAUCCGAGACACAAGACCAUACAAAAUGGUAGUAGUGUAUGAGAAUUUUAUGGGUAUAAUUAGCAUUGUUUGCUUUUCUAGCUGCUCUAGUUUUCAGUUGUAGUAUAGUAUAUUCAGUAUUAAGAUCUUUCAGCUGCUCUGUUUUCAGUUGCAAAAUAGAGGACCAAGUAUCCCUAUUGUGUUAGUGCUUGCAAGUUAGUUUCCUUCUACUCGGCUGUUGUCAAUUCAUUAUGCGCUGCAUGAUUCUUCAUAUUUUUGCAAUUUAUCUACCCAGAUGUUGAUUUAUGCCUAAUCUGCAUGCAUAUUUGCUCUCAAUCAUCUAAACACUUAUUACAGAUGUGAAAUGAACAUAUUUGUUUACUAUUCUCCUUGUUAUGAAGUUUUUAGGUGAUGAGGCCUUGUGGCAAGUUCUGGGCAAGAUGCGCUUACUUAAGAGCAGCUAAUAGGCAUGGUUGAUUAAUUCUGAGUUCAGUAUGCGGCCAACUUGCUGCAACUGAACGAGAGAAGCUCCAAAUGAUUCUCUAAUUCUGAUGUACACAUAUAUGUGUCUAUAAGUGUGUAAUGUUUUCUAAAUUAUUGUACAGUACUUAAAGCAAGUCGUAGUUGUGCCAUAUCCUUCUAUUAAUGUUUUACCGUAAUAAUCGACACUACUAGGGAAUGGAUCUCUCGUCCACUCCCUUAGUACCGGUCACAUUUAAGUCUGGUACUAACAUUAGUACCGUAUCUAAAUUUAGGAACCCCCGGAGGUCCUUUAGUACCGGGUGGGAGGUCCACCCGAUACUAAAUGUCACCCAUUAGUACCGAGUGGAGGCUCCACUCGGUACUAAAGGCCCUAAGGCACAUUAGUACCUGGUGGAGGCUCCACCCGGUACUAAAGGUCCCCACCCGGUACUAAAGAGCUCUCGCACCCUUAUCCAUCCGUCCGCCUGCAGUGAGGCAUAACAGCGUCGCCCUCCGCUAUCUCUCUCUCUCACCCGGUUUUAAAGCGGCACAGUAGCACUCAUCCUCUAGCUCCUCCUCUGCCUCAUCCUCAAGCUCCUCCUCUGCCUCCCCUCCCCCCUCCGCUCGCCCCUCACCGGCGGUGAGGAGCAGCAGCGGGGCGAGGUGAGAUGGCGGUGGCGGGGCGGGGGCCGGCGGUGGAGUGGCGGACGGCGGAGGGGGCUGUGGAGUGGCGGGCGGGCGGACGGCGGAGGGGGCUGUGGCGGGGAGAGGGGGGGAGGGCUGGCGGGGGGAUUCAUUUUUUUUUAAUUUUUUAAUACCUUUUAGUAUCGGUUAUCUCAACCGGUACUAAAGUACCCCCUUCUAGUACCGAAUUGUCAGUAUUGGUUGCGGAACCGGUAUUAGAAGGGGUUCCCAACCGGUACUAGACAUUAGACAUUAAAUCCACAGUAGUGCGACUAUAUAGAUUCCAGUACAUAAGCCAUUGUCAUGAUUCAUACGUGUUCCGCUAAAAUACUAGAUAUAUUCAAAUUAAAACAUCUUUUAUUAACUAAUGUAUUAUAGUAAACCAUCAGAUAACUUCUGGUACACUACUAGAGGAGUAGAGUAUAUCUGAUCCACACAUUCUCAUAAAAAAUCUUAUUUCUUUACGGAAGGAGUAGAAUAUUGUCUAAAAAAUGAAUAAUAAUAUUCUAGUAACUUGAUCCACGCAUUCUCGUAAAACGGUAAAAUAAUUCUUUAUUUCUUUAUAAACUCUGCACGAGGGACUAUUUUAUAGUAACUUGAUUUUGAUUAUGCUAUUGUGGUAAAUGAUCUUGUGGUUAAUUAAUGAUGCCAUUCUCGUAAAAUUGGCCAAGCCAUUAACCUAACCAUUCUAGUAAAUUGACGAUGGCAUUGUGGUAAAUUCAAACAAGCAUGCCUGUCUUAUCAUUCAAUGUCUCGCUUUUUUCAGAGUAACAAUUUUGAUUUCUCACCCCUGCAGAUUGAAAGUUGAUUUGUUCAGCAGUCCUGUAGUAAGGAGCUUACGAUCCCUAUUAUGGUAAAAUGAUUCUUUAUUUCUUUAUAGAAAACAGCCAACCCUGGUUUUGUAUUCUCGUAACAUGCAAGUUCGAAAAAAAUUUAUCGUAACUUCAUGCACGUGUAGACAAUUCUCGUAACCUGCAUGUAUGCUGGACGGAGCAGUUCUGGUAAGAAGAAUCUGCUUUGAUUAUGUAGUAAUGACUAAUGACUCCCACUCCUCCCAGCACCAAUUACGUGAUGACUCUCGGCUCCGUAGCUACCGGAGGCUCGGCUCGCUCGUUCGUGUAAGCCCGGAUCGGCGGGGAGCUGUGGACCCAGGUGGUAAUUACGAUUGCUUGGUGGUCUAGCAGCGUGCCAAGUGGCCUAGUUCUAUGGCCAGCCACAGUAUACUCACCCUCUCUCUAUAUAAUACAUAUACAUAUACAUAUACAUAUACAUAUACAUAUACAUAUAUAUAUACAUAUACAUAUACAUAUACAUAUACAUAUACAUAUACAUAUACAUAUACAUAUACAUAUACAUAUACAUAUACAUAUAUAUGAAAAAAGGCCCACUACAAUUUAGAAAUGAUAGAAAAUUGAGUGCAAUACUCGUGGAUAUUCAAUUCUCACAGGCAGGCUAGAGAUCCUUCCCAUGAGUUAUGGAGUCACAGGGAGUAUAGUAGUCAUCAUCUCGUGUUGUCAUUGCUUGUGUGCAUCAUAUCAAUUCGGUGGACCCAUGGGAGAGAAAAUGACUCGCGGCUUAAUUGCAUGCGCAUAUAUAUACAUGGAGAAAUAUAAUAAUAAUAAUAAUAAUAAUAAUAAUAAUAAUAAUAAUAAUAAUAAUAAUAAUAAUAGUCCUAAUAUUACAUCAUACUCAUAUAGGGCUGCUUCAUAAUAAUUAGGACCACUGUACGGGGGAACAAACUACUAAAUGAGGGAAAAGGAGUCUCAUGCAAUCCUGUGCCGUGUCGUCGACCCAUACCAUCGACCUGACCUCACAUUUUCAAAGCUACUUGCACGCUCUUGUGUUUAAUUUCUUCGUUUAAUUAGAUCGAUCAUGACACUGUGCCUAAAGCCCUAAACUAAUGCUACCAAGCUUGCAAGAGUCAGCCGGGAGCCGGCUGGCAUUGCUACUUAGCUUACUCCUAUCACAAAGUAAAUGCCAUUUUAAGCUAACACGUUUAAACUUUGACCGUCAACAUAUCUUGGAAGAUUUCAAUUGAAAGUUUAAAAAUGCUAUGGCUAGAUUUGUCUUGAAGAGGUAGUUUCAAAAUAUUAUAACUUUGCUAUUACACUAGCAAUUAGUGCCUUGGUGGUCAAAUUAAGUAUGAAUAUAUUGUAUUGUGGAGACAGGAGAUCAUAUUUCACAACAAUGAACAAAAUAUUUUGUACAAAGUUGGUGUAAUCGGACGGUCGGUCGGGAACAGAACAGAUGCAUGUGGAAUCCUUGCGACGAUCUGAGUUAGCGGCGGUGAAAUGGGGAUUGCUUGGACGAUGACGAUGGAGAUAUCUAGAUGGUCCCUGCUGCAGGUCGUCAACAGGUCUCUCUACUAAUAAAACCAUUGGUCCAUUGUGGAUCUGAGAUCUCUCUCUGCAUUGUUGCCUACUUGCUCAUGUAGUCAUGUAUGAGUAAAAGCUCUGGACCACCACCCCAGUGAUUCACCAUAAUGUGUUUGGACGCAUCAAAGGUUGGCAACAGUAUGACAAGCUGCGCCUUUGAAACGUGACAAAUUGGUCCUCUACUAGCUGCUGGUUCUUCCAAUGGUGGUUUUGUAUUUUGUGAAAAUAAGAAAAAACUGAUUUAUUUAAUCUGAAUAAUUCACAACCAAGUAUUUAAAUCAGAAAAAUAUAUGAAAUUCAACACAUCUGUUGUUGCUGCUCUAUUUUGAACUAUUUGGAAUUUAUUUGUUCAUGGUCCUAAUGUUUUACUAUCUGUAGUUACAUAUGCUAUUUAUUUAAACUGCUGUUUAAUAUAUAUAUAUUUAAUUUGAUGAAACUGCGCGCUGCACGUACGUGUACGUAUACGCGCUGCCCCGCCAUAAAGCUUGAUCAGUCCUGGGAUCGAUGCAUAGAGCCCUGGGAGAGCACGCAACGCAACCGCAAGCAACGGAGAACCAAUGCAAGUUGCUGGUCAAUCAAACAACAACUCCCGCUUGCAUUUUUUUUGUGGUCAUGCGUUUGCGCCUUAUCUCCAGCUAGCAUUUGCUAGCUAUUUAUUGCAUGGAUCCCCUCCCUGCUACAAUAUAUACGUAACUCUAAAAUUUGAAUCAUGCGUGCGUGCGUGCACAGUGACUUGGAAAAAUAUUGUAUGAUAAUAUUGUAUCGUUCUCGAACAUGCAAAAAAAAAAC
rnacentral:lncRNA from 1 species